AUGGCAGCGCAUUGUGGGAUGCUGUGGUAUUUGUUCACCAAAGUGUAUUCUUUUAUGGAUGUAAUUGCACAAAAUUUGCAUGGAUUUGUGGUGUUCUUGGCAGGAAGAGAUGGCGUGACGAUCAUGCCGGGGUUUCAUAUCCUGCGAACGGAUAUGAAACGUUUUGCUGCAGGAGCAAUCAUCAUUCCUGCAACACAUAAGGAGCAGUAUCAUCAACAAGAAGAACCAAAGGAGAGGUGCCCUUCCCAUCUGCUGCAAUUUGGAGAAGGAUCAGAGCUACUCCUAGCACAUGUUAAUUAUGAAGUUCAGGAACUCUGUUUCACGCAAAAGUUCAGACACGGAGGCAGGGAGGGAUAUAUAGACAGAGUGCUGUGCUGUGCUGUUUGUUGCUAG
rnacentral:rRNA from 1 species